UUCAUUGUAAUGAACUUGUCAAAUUAAAUCAUCUUUAGCAAAGAUAUAACCAGCAAUAUUGCCAUCCACAACUACAAAAAUGCAGCAUAUUGCCACAACCAUACCACAAUGGUAUCAAUCUACCCUAACAUGGCUAAAAAUUUUAGUUUUCUAAUUUCAAUAAAUAUUACAAUCAAAUCCCAAAAAGGUUCAUUAGCAAUACAGCCACAACAAGGCAGCAUAUUGCCACAUCCAUAUCAUAAUGGUAUCAGUCAACCAAAAUAUAGUCAAAAAUAUGAAUUUUCUAGUUAACAUAACCAAUAUAUUCAACCAACAAAAAGGAAAUAACCGCAGUUCAUUUUUUUUGGUCUCUUGGAGCCACAAUGUCAUAGUCUUGACAUCCUUACAGUUGGUUGCCUCCACUUUGAGGAUCUACUUUGUUGGCUUUCUUGGUUGGUAUCACUUUUAAGCUGACUUGGUUCCUGCAUAUAAGUCUUCAUGGUUAGUAUGUAAGUAGAUCGCAGCACCCAAAAAAAGGCAAUUGAGAACUAGUACCUAUGAAAGAGUAGUAGCAGUAGUACUUGAGACACUAGCCUGAGCUAUAGAAGCUACAGAUGUUGCAUUUGAAGUUGUUGGACCAACUUUAGAUGCCUAUAGUUCAAAUCGAAAUGAAUGAGUGUGUAAGUAACAACAAAACAAACUAAAGAAUUGAUUUGGUUCUAAAAUGUUACAUUACUUUGUAAAGUUUGGACUUAGGGUGAAUUGCUGAUUUGCAGGUUCUUAUGUUAAGUUCAGAGUUCAAAUGCCUUCGGCAAUAAACUGCAAGACCCUUCCUACUUGCUUUCUACUGAUUUAUAGGCUAUUCUAGACCCUUUUUCCUCUGUUUCUUUGGCCUACUAGGCUGUUUUUUACCAAUGGUGGGUUCAAAUAUUUCAUUUUGCUGUCCACCUAGAAUUAUUUCAAAGGAACGGGACCAAUUGUGAAGUUGUAGGCCUUUAAAUAUGCUUCCCUAUGGUGACAAGCAUCAACAUAUUGCUCGAAUUCCAACUUUCUGUUAUUAAUGCAGGCAACCGCAUGCACGCAUGGAAUGCCACUAAGCUGAAAAUAACCAUAGGUACAUGUUUUUAUCUCCAAAUUAACAACAUUUGUCCUUCCAUAACCAUCAACUUCCAAAAUUUCAUUUUCUCCAUAAAUCGCAGCACAAUUUCUUGCAUUUACCUUUAGUUUCUCUAAGUUCUCAUGAAUGUUUUGGGCAUAAAGUGCCACCAUGUUUCAGGAUAUCCUCUCAUUUGGUUGUUGACCUUUGUAUUAAUCUCCUCCGAAUCCACUCCAGCAUUGUUAUUAUUGGCUCAUCUCUAGCUUUUAGAAUAUAAUUAUCCCAUGUCUCACUCAUGUUGUUGACGCAUGUGUCACUCCUACAAGCUGUACUGGACCAUAGUUUUGGAGGCAACUGUUUGAACCAUCCUGCAGCUGCUAGCUUGUCACCUUCCUGUGGAUCUGCCCUUUCAAGAUUUGCUAGGGUAGUUUCAUACUCUGAUAUGCUUGUUGCUGCAGCAACUUUCUAAAACAUGCCUCUAUGGUUUGGAUUAUUGAAUCUUUGUUUGAAGUUCCCGAACAUAUGUUUCAGGCAGAAUUUGUGCUCUAAUUCAGGGAACAACUCCUCAAUUGCAUGGACAAGACCCCUUUGUCUAUCCGAAAUGAAAGUGUAAGCCACUCCUUUGUUUCCUCUUCCAAUUUGGGUGGUUAAUACCUGCAAAACCAACUCCAACUAUCAUAGU
rnacentral:lncRNA from 1 species